UACGGAGGGAGCUAGCGUUAUUCGGAAUUACUGGGCGUAAAGGGCGCGUAGGCGGCCGAUCAAGUCGGGGGUGAAAGCCUGUGGCUCAACCACAGAAUUGCCUUCGAUACUGUUUGGCUUGAGACCGGAAGAGGUAAGUGGAACUGCGAGUGUAGAGGUGAAAUUCGUAGAUAUUCGCAAGAACACCAGUGGCGAAGGCGGCUUACUGGUCCGGUUCUGACGCUGAGGCGCGAAAGCGUGGGGAGCAAACAGG
rnacentral:rRNA from 1 species